GGACUGUAGGCUGCAACUCGCCUACACGAAGCUGGAAUCGCUAGUAAUCGCGGAUCAGCACGCCGCGGUGAAUACGUUCCCGGGCCUUGUACACACCGCCCGUCACACCAUGAGAGUCGGGAACACCCGAAGUCCGUAGUCUAACCGCAAGGAGGACGCUGCCGAAGGUAGGAUUGGCGACUGGGGUGAAGUCGUAACAAGGUACC
rnacentral:rRNA from 1 species